rnacentral:rRNA from 1 species
GUGCCAGCAGCCGCGGUAAUACAGAGGGUGCAAGCGUUGUUCGGAAUUAUUGGGCGUAAAGCGCGUGUAGGCGGCGUGACAAGUCGGGUGUGAAAGCCCUCAGCUCAACUGAGGAAGUGCGCCCGAAACUGUCGUGCUUGAGUGCCGGAGAGGGUGGCGGAAUUCCCCAAGUAGAGGUGAAAUUCGUAGAUAUGGGGAGGAACACCGGUGGCGAAGGCGGCCACCUGGACGGUAACUGACGCUGAGACGCGAAAGCGUGGGGAGCAAACAGGAUUAGAAACCCCCGUAGUCC